AAAGGGCAGCAUGUAAGAGAAGUCUUCGUUUUCAGAGCCGUAAUUCUUAAAGAAAAACCUGCUUAUCGUUUCACAGAGUCCUACGGUGCUGGUCAGCUUGGGUGCUGGUCAGUUUGUGUGGCUAUGUGUGUCGACAGUGGCCCAGUCGCUGCAAAGGUGGAAUUCAGCUCGUUUGCGGACCGUCAGUCUCCCAGUCGUUUCCUAGGGCCCUAUGCCAUCCUCCCCUCCCCGCCCGUGUCGUCCUAGCUAGGUGUCGGGUUGUAGGCUGGCGUUGGGCUGCCCCGCAAUUGGGACCAUAAGUCGUUCAGACAUCGGUAAGCCGACAAGACAACCAACUUCAACCGCCUCGUUGGGCUAGCUCUGCUUCUGCUGCAUAACCCCCAAAAAUGUCCGUCCUGGCCCGGGUCUGCCUGCUCCAGGUUGCGAGGAUGUAGCCCAACGAAGCGGAGGCCCACUUGCCGAGGCAAAGCACCUAUGGGUAUACAGUGCGAUUCCUUUGCAUACCUGGACCAGCGGUAUAACAGAGAAAACGCCCAUGCGGAAGGAAGGCCCCUCGACGGCUAAUUCGCAUCCACGGAUGAGCUUGAUGCCCUCCUUGACCAGGCCUGAUAAGCCAACGAUGUCAGCCACAGCAUCCAUCGAGGUGCUUCGCAUCUUGUCCUUUUGCCAGGUGCCGACAACUCGCGCAUUUAUUGCUUUGUUCAGGCAUGUAAUAAUGCGGCGCUCAUAACGAGUUCUAUUGACGGCGCAGGGCCUUUCGCGAAGCAGGUUUCGUCCAGCACAAUGCAUUCUUUUUAGAAAAACACAGAGUAAUUUUCUUACGUAGCCCGCUGAUUCUGAAGGAGUUAGACUGGUGAAUACGAUGAUGUUCCUCAAACGCUAUCCGUACCGAGCCACCAACCAAAUUACAGCACAAUCUAUGGGCCUGUUUCCACUGUCGAGUCUGUUUGUUAGCCGCGAAAAAGUUAUUGGCGCGCUAACAAACCCUAACAAAAUGGUGUUUCCACUAGUAGCCCCGAAACCAUCUUUUUGCACGUCAUUUAGCGCCAAAACACCCUAAUUCGAGGACAAUAUUGUAGUCAGUAUAGUAAAUUGUAGCGCUGCAGCUCGGAGGUGAUGCUCUGCGAAGCGGCCUGGGCGGCAGCAUGGACAUCGGCGUCGAAGCGAAGAGACGGCGCGCCCUGCAGGGGCUGCUGCAUCGUUGCCAUAAAGGCGUUAUGGAUAGCAGAGGGCAUAUUGCCAGAAGGAAUCGGCGAGGGCGACUGGUUCUGCGACAUUUUCGGUUCGGUCAACGACGCAGGCCGGCAAGCAGUCAGGGUUGUAGACUGAAAGUGUACAGAAGACCGGGUGCAAGUAGAUUUCAAAAAGGAGC
rnacentral:lncRNA from 1 species